GUGGCUCAGUGGUAGAGCACUUGCCUAGCAUGUGUGAGGCUCUGGGUUCAAAUCUCAGC
rnacentral:tRNA from 1 species